CGGCGGACGGGUGAGUAAUGCCUAGGAAUCUGCCUGGUAGUGGGGGACAACGUUUCGAAAGGAACGCUAAUACCGCAUACGUCCUACGGGAGAAAGCAGGGGACCUUCGGGCCUUGCGCUAUCAGAUGAGCCUAGGUCGGAUUAGCUUGUUGGUGAGGUAAUGGCUCACCAAGGCGACGAUCCGUAACUGGUCUGAGAGGAUGAUCAGUCACACUGGAACUGAGACACGGUCCAGACUCCUACGGGAGGCAGCAGUGGGGAAUAUUGGACAAUGGGCGAAAGCCUGAUCCAGCCAUGCCGCGUGUGUGAAGAAGGUCUUCGGAUUGUAAAGCACUUUAAGUUGGGAGGAAGGGUUGUAGAUUAAUACUCUGCAAUUUUGACGUUACCGACAGAAUAAGCACCGGCUAACUCUGUGCCAGCAGCCGCGGUAAUACAGAGGGUGCAAGCGUUAAUCGGAAUUACUGGGCGUAAAGCGCGCGUAGGUGGUUUGUUAAGUUGGAUGUGAAAGCCCCGGGCUCAACCUGGGAACUGCAUCCAAAACUGGCAAGCUAGAGUACGGUAGAGGGUGGUGGAAUUUCCUGUGUAGCGGUGAAAUGCGUAGAUAUAGGAAGGAACACCAGUGGCGAAGGCGACCACCUGGACUGAUACUGACACUGAGGUGCGAAAGCGUGGGGAGCAAACAGGAUUAGAUACCC
rnacentral:rRNA from 1 species